CACGUAGUUAGCCGGUGCUUCUUUACCCACUACCGUCACACAAAGCUUCGUCAUGGGCGAAAGCGGUUUACAACCCGAAGGCCGUCAUCCCGCACACGGCGUUGCUGCAUCAGGCUUCCACCCAUUGUGCAAUAUUCCCCACUGCUGCCUCCCGUAGGAGUCUGGGCCGUAUCUCAGUCCCAAUGUGGCCGGUCACCCUCUCAGGCCGGCUACCCGUCAAAGCCUUGGUAAGCCACUACCCCACCAACAAGCUGAUAAGCCGCGAGUCCAUCCCCAACCGCCGAAACUUUCCAACCCCCACCAUGCAGCAGGAGCUCCUAUCCGGUAUUAGCCCCAGUUUCCUGAAGUUAUCCCAAAGUCAAGGGCAGGUUACUCACGUGUUACUCACCCGUUCGCCACUCGAGUACCCCCCGAAAGAGGCCUUUCCGUUCGACUUGCAUGUGUUAAGCACGCCGCCAGCGUCGUCCUCGUAGCCACGGAUCAAACUACU
rnacentral:rRNA from 1 species